UUUUGUUUUAUCUAAUCCAUUCCAAGUUUAUAACUGGUGAUGUUUGGUCUUUUACUAUUUUGGCUGGUGAUAGAUUAAGAAGGAUAUGACGCUUUGUAUAGUUUCAUGGAUGGGGUUUGGGUGUCCUGAUGAGAGCAGUUCAGUGGCUGCACCUCUGCAACCUCGCCAACGUGGACAAUCACUGGUAACAUCUUUUUACCCUAUCCAGUUAUUACCUCCAUUUUAUGCAGUUUCUUUUCAAACUGAAUGAAGUCUCGAGGUGGACGCGCGAGCUCUUAUUUUGUUGUUCUUGCUGUUGUGUAUACUAGAUCAUUGAUGGCGCGCGUUGCCGCACCCGUCCAUUUUUAUAAUGAAAAGGUAGGUAUUGCCCACAAGGUUUAAAGUAAGAGUACUACUAUAGUCGUGCUUAACAUAGAUUGUUUCCAUACCCAGUCCAAAAAACUAACUUUUAGCUCUUAACUAAGCAACAAAAAAUAUAUAGCCCUGUUAAUUGUGAACUUCUAUGUUUUGUUCAUACAAAUUACAAGAUCAUUGUCAAACACAUAACUAUAGCAAAGUCAGCACGAAAUAAUAAAUACACAAUAUGAUGGAAAUAAUAGGUGGCAUGACUUGUAGAAUCUUAUUACUUGUUAGGCAUAAAUCGUGAAAGCCGUAAAUUGUAAAUUUGUAACACAAGAAUUCUCCUAAGCUUCUUAUUUAGGGCAAACAUUCAACUUAAGAACAUGUUUGUGGGGAUAUAUAUGAACACAGUCUGACCUGCGACAUACAUAUAUAGCAUGCAUGAUUGACUUGAGAAUUUGUAAGAAUUUUGUUGAGCUUCUUGCCACAAGAAUGUUUCUUGAUAAUAUUGUAUGUUGUAGAACUGCUCAACUUGGGAUGGCUAUGAGAAAAAUCCUUGAUACAGAAGCAUACAUGAUCCAGGUCUUCUCACCAACAGCUUUGUCUCCAUUGCCCAACUUUCUAACAAGAACAUCAAAAAGAACAAAAAAACUAUUAAAAUAAUAACACAACUCAGGAGCUCAACCCUCACAUAUUUCAUUCAUUCUAGUUAUAUUAUUUUUUGAAAAAAACUACAAAGCACUCACUUCUUGUUUCCGAACAGGCACAGUAUGACAAAAAAAAGACUGUCGUCUUUUCUGUUCUAGAAAGCCAAGCCAUUCUGAUGCUAAUUAAGUUCCACCAAACAACUUCGGGAUUUAGCCUUACCUAAACUUUGGCCUGCUAAGGAGAGAUUUAACGCAACAAAUAUCACUAACUGGAAUUAGAUGGUACAAAGUUAUAAGAAAAGAAAAAAGAAGUCGCUUGGAAGAAAAUGUAAAGAUAAAACUAUUAUUUAUUGAAGAAUAGUGUAGCAAAAACAUAAGUCCAUUGAGCACACCUCCAUAGAACAAACAGAUUGUCUCUCGAACUGCAGUUUGAAAGCCCCUCAAGUUGUCCCUGUGCUAUGAUGUAAUCAGUACAAUUAUUGUCACACAAGGAUUAUUGCUAGUAUAGUUUAGCAAAACUACCAACAUAGAAGCACAACAAAGUGGGUAAUGGAAUCAGAGUUAAAUAUGUAUACUUACUCUGUAGCGCAAAAUAACAAAUGCCUAUAUAGGGCAUGUAGAGUUAGCAAAAAACCAUUCUAGUUGAACGGAAUGGGGGAUCAAACAAUAAGAAACUUCAAAGCGUAUUAGCUCUCUCUCUCUCUCUCUCUCUCUCUCUCUAUAUAUAUAUAUAUAUAUAUAUAUAUAUAUAUAUAUAUAUAUAUAUAUAUAUAUAUAUAUAUAUAUUGCUCAAAUCAAAACUAAGAAUGAACAAAGGAAAUAUCCAUUGGCUAGCUCCCAGAUUGAGUUAAUUUAAAACUGCACACAAAUUCUCUUACCAAAUUAACAUGUAUGACAAAAAACCGAAGCAUACCAUAAAUUAAACUGUCUAUUUUAUGAUGCAAGCAAGUGGCGGCUACUCAGUUCUUGUAAAUUUUAAGCAAAUUGACCAACAACAUUUUUCCCAAAUUAGAAGGAAUACAAUUGUUAGUUCUCACCAUGGCGACUACAUAAUUUGGAUUGGAGCUUGUGAACUUACAUUAUUUGCAUACAUAUAGUAGUGUUAGUCACGGAUGGAGAAGGCCAGAAGUGGAGGAACAUGAAAUGGCAUAAGUAGGAUCCGUAGAUUUAAAAAAUUCAAACUAUGGAGUUUAAUGCAAUGAGGUGAAAUAAGCAAAACUAACCGCUAAUAGAAUUGUUGAAUUAAACAAUAAAAUUAGAACCGUGAUUGUCAUAAGUUAUGAUCAGAAAAUAUGACCUUACAAAAAUGGACCAUGCAACCUUACUUUUAGAAAUGUGCACACAAAUCCAAUGUAAAUUGGGGUAGUGGUAAUAGAUAAACCACUUUGUCGUGCCUGGAGAUUCCCCGUACCAGGAAAAUAAAGGGUAUGUGCAAUUGUUGUUCCGUUCGCCUUUGGUAGUUCAAUCAACCCAGAAACUUGCUCCAGCGGAAGGUUCACUACCUUGAGGUGGCCUCUAAUUGCCGCAGUUAUCAGAGGAGUCACAUUUUGAUUGGCCAAACAUUUUCGCAAGGGAUGGGUCAUGGUCCAGGAGUACUUCACUAUAUCUACAAGCAGUGUCAGAUGUCCAACUUUCUGUAUUACCACGGUAAAGAUGAAACAACAUGAAUGAGAGACUAACUCUUGCCCAUUAGCUUGUUAAGGCAACGACACAGUUGAGUUAUUACACAGAGCAGGUAAAUUUCAACACUGGAAAACAAAUAACAAUAGGAUCCAUGGAGAUUAAUCGAAGAGUAGAUUAAGAACACAUAAAACCUUGGCUGCCCAUAAAACCAUGGCUAUCAAUUAAUUUAGGAAUUCAUAUCAGUCUUAUAUAUAUGCAUGAUCCCCGAGAAACAGUGAUCCAUGAGGCCAUGACUAAGCAUCCCUCCCCAUCUUUUGUGGAGCAAACAGAUAACUUUAGCAUCUACACACUUUUGAUUUUGCUGAACUAUUUGUGCACAAAAUUGGAAACUACAGACAAAGGGGUCAACAAUCGUGGCAUACACCAUACAGUAGCAAUCGUUGUUUGCUACACACCUUUGAUUCAGCGAUUUAGUGCUAGUCACGUGGUUCAGCAAGAUGGCAUCCACAAGAAACAUAAAGCAUCUAAAAACAAUGCAAAUCCAAGAAGGUACAUGGAAGGAGAUAGCUUACGUGUUACGCGGAUGAAGCUGCUGCCUAUUGAUGGUUAGAUUGUAGUCUAGACACAAGGUCCAAAGCUCCCAUGUUACCAUGUAAAAAUAUGAGAAAAAACAGAAGUCGUGAUGAUGCGCCGGCCACUAUCGUCCGCGUCCCACCCUUUCCACGCAGGUGGUUCGACCGCGUCGGGUGGAUCGAUUGGCCGUUGAUUCAUCUGCAUCCCGCGCGGUCGAUGGAUCCCAUCUCGAAUGCACGGAUACUUAAGCCGACCAGCGAAUCCGUAUGGAUACCGUAUCCGAUACCGAUACUCCUCCGAUACGCCCCCGAUACGUAUCCCUGGAGUAUCCAAGAAUAAAUGAUUUAAAACAAUUGCGAUAGUCGAAGGAUACUUUGCCAGUACGUUUUGGAUACUUCUCCAGCCCAUGUAAGAGCCCACUCAGCCCAGUUAAGAAGCAGCCAACAACCCUAGUGCCUCAAUGCCCCCCAUCCUUUCCCUUACAGCGUCUUUCCUCCCUCCCAUGCUCACACCAGGCGGCAGCUGUGUCACCAGCGGCUGCUCACCCAGGUCCUAGGGCCAGCGGCAGCGGCGACUAGCCAGUGACGAGCUCCUCCUCCUACUCACCAACGUCCCCUCUCACGCAGCACGGCAGCAGCCAUGUAUGGACACUUCUCUUCUCCAUUUCUCCUGCCCAGCCAAGCUCAUCUCCUUUUCUUUCUUCUCCGAUCUCUGAAGAUCUAUUAUUCUCAUCUCCUCCAGAUUGCUUUGAGUAGCUACAACGUAUCCGUAUUGGCACUUUUUGAAAUGACGAAUUUACGUAUCCGUAUUGGCCCGAUACUGAUACCCGUAUCCGUAUCGGUGCAUUCGAGGAUCCCAUCGUUCGCGAUUGAAUUUCAUGCCUGUUGGCCGCCGCACCCCAACCGGCUCCGCCGCUGGCGCCCGUGCCCCAUCCGGCCGCGCCGCUAGGGUCCGUGCCCCAUCCGACUGCGCCGCUAGGGUCCGUGCCCCCAUCCGGCCGCACCCCUCGCGUCGGCGCGCAGCCGCCAAUGCAAUCCGAGGCCAUCUCAGGCGGCGCAGUCGGAAUAGAGCAGGUCGCGAACGUGGUUUAGGGCUUCGUCUGUGGCGUUUCACCCUGUGCGCUGUGUUGGUGGAUAGGAUGGUAGAAAAGGCCCAGUAGGCCCAAUUGAACGCGAGACACCCAAAAAAGCCACUGGAGCAGCGGCCCAAAAAGCCCAGCGCAGCCUGACGCGCGAGUUAGCGCCUGCGUACGAGAUUUAGGUGGGACUAAGCACGAAUCUGACGGCCAAAACGAUUAAAAGUGGCGAUCUAACGGCUAGAAAUGCUAAUGGCCUGAGAGGGCUGGGAGUGUGCUCAAUUUUAAUAUAUCUAAAUGUCUUCAUGCAUCUAAACCAUUAAAAAUUGCAAAACUAAAAUGGGUUGGGGGAGAUAUGGCUAUGGUGUUUAUUCCUUCACAUUGGUUUAGGUAUUUCUGAAUUGGUUCACUCUGAAAAAAGGUCCGUCAUGGUUUGAUUUUUGCAUCUGCAGAAAGUGCAGUUUUUUUCUAGUGUCGAGCAUCCACACCUUCUUCUCCCCAGCGCUCACUAUUUUGUUGGCACAUGUUUUGUAGAAUAGGACACCUUUUUAGGGCUCCUUUGAUUCAAAGGAAUUUCAUAGGAUUUCUGGAUCCUUAGGAUUAUUUCCUAUGUUGGUCCUUUGACUCAUAGGAUUGAAUCCCAUAGGAAUUUUUCCUAUGGAAUCUUUUGUACUACAUUUCAUAGAAAAUCUAACAUCCACUCUAACCUUUUUUUACAAUUCCUUUGUUUUUCCUGUGCCAUCAAACACUCAUUGCUAAUCCUAUAGGAUUCAAGUGGGCAUGCCACUCCAAUCCUAUACUUUUCCUAUUCCUACAUUUUUAAAAUCCUACGAAUCAAAGAGGAAUGUUGUAUUUCAUGCUACACAGUGUGAUGGAUCAUUAGAUGGCUAGCCUUUCGUGGCACUCAUUGACGAAUUUUCACUUUAGGAGUUCUUGUGGCCCCUUGGUUUUUUUGUAUGUUCAUGUUGAGAAAUUAUAGUAAUAAGGAGGGACACAAUAAAUAUUUGUAAGCUAGGUUGCUUGCCUAAUCAAGCUCACAUGUGGAUCAUUUACUGUUCUGCGUUAUUGGAGCUUUGCUACAGUAUUCAUUCAGAAAAAUAUGAGUGGCUUGUUGCAAUAUGGUGCUCAGGACGAAAAUGAUAUUUGAAAUUGCAUGUUCUAUGACAAUGGUGUAAUACCAUAAUAAUUACAAAUUAUAAUUUGUUUCUGACUUUGCAACCGGAAUGUGUUGCCUUUAGUAAUAUGUACGCCCACUGUUUAUUUCGAGCAAGACAUGAUAAAUAUUGUUCUUCAGAUUACUUCAGUGAACUGAUAAAUAGCGGACGAGGCUAAGUUCAAGACCUUGAUUUAGAAGUAGAGUUUUUCAAUCAUAGACAUGUUUCUUCCUAAAAAGCAAUUCAAGCGUAGCUACUGUUGACUCUAAAAAGGGAUUUAAAAUGUUUUCAUUUCUGAAAAAUGUUUUCGUUUAUGAAUUUUGAUCUGAAGUUAUCAACCUUAAUCGAAUUCUCUGAAUUUAGGCUAAACUUAAGCAUGAAUUGUAGGUCAUGAGUACAGGAUCAAGCCGCGGAUAUUUACGGCACGACAUGGAGUAUUUGGUGGAACUGGCUAUGGAAGUGUGUCCCUCCAUGUUGUACGCAGACCGUGAUAUGGUGAAUUAUUUCGUAGGCACGACAUUAUGAGCUCCUGUUUUGCAGCACAUGGAUACUUUUCGGCAUAAAUGUCAUGGGUCCAUGAUGCCUUACGUACCUCUGAACCUAUGACUCUGGAGAUAAUUUAAUAUAUUUGUGGAUUGUUUCGCUCCGGUUACACAAGGUAAGAUCCUCUUUCACUAACACUUUCAAGUUUCAAAUAUUGUCAAACGGGGUUCACAAUACUAGGUCUUUCUCAAUUCAGAUUCUUAUAUAUCCAAAAGGGGGACUAGCAAUUCUGAUGGGGCUUUUGCCACUUAUUGUUUUAUGGUUGUCUAGACAGCUGAUGGCAUGCUUCUUUUUGCGAAUUGUCAAUUCUUUUGUACAGGGUCCCUCGGCUACUUAUGCUUUGCUAGAUAAUGAGAGUAUGUAGGUAGUAUGUAUGGUUUUUACAUUGUUUUGCGCAGGUUGAGAUGCAUCACAUGAUGUUUUCCUUUUAUAUUUAUGAGUAUUACAGAGUCCUUUCUUUUUCCACAAGGGGCAGUAGUUGUGCCAUUUGAUUCGAAGGACAAAGAGUUGAUCACAAAGGGGUAGCAUUCAGGACAUAUACACAAAAGAGUAUAGAACCAAAUUAUAUGAUGUAAUUGACAACUAUUUCUAUUAACUUCUCCUGUACACAAUGUUCACG
rnacentral:lncRNA from 1 species